GAGCUACAGAGCUGUCUGUCCUCAGAAGACCCCUUUCAGAUCAAGGGCGAGGGAUCAGACCACUUAGCCAAGAAGGACACUGACAUCGUGAGGACAACCAGAGAGUUGCGCCGGAGAAGUGCGUCAUUGAGAAGCCUAAACGACACACGCGGAGCUUCCCACCUGAGACCUCCAACACGACCUGAGCCCUAGGACCAUGCUUCAGGACUACCUGGCCUGAUGAUUCCUUGCUGUCCCCAGUCCACCUGGCUAUGCUGCUGCUCCAGUUUCAACUGUUCUGCCUGCGGCUAUGGAACCCUGACCUGUUCACUGUCUUCCGAGUGGCGCAGCGGUCUAAGGCACUGCAUUUCAGUGCAAGAGGCAUCACUACAGUCCCUGGUUCGAUUCCAGGCUGUAUCACAUCUGGCUGUGAUUGGGAGUCCCAUAGGGCGGGGCAUAAUUGGCCCAGCGACUUCUGGGUUUGGCCGGGGUAGGCUGUCAUUGUAAAUAAAAAUGUAUUCUUAGCUG
rnacentral:lncRNA from 1 species